rnacentral:rRNA from 1 species
CCUACGGGAGACAGCAGUGAGGAAUAUUGGUCAAUGGACGAGAGUCUGAACCAGCCAAGUAGCGUGAAGGAUGACUGCCCUAUGGGUUGUAAACUUCUUUUAUAUGGGAAUAAAAUGUUCCACGUGUGGGAUUUUGUAUGUACCAUAUGAAUAAGGAUCGGCUAACUCCGUGCCAGCAGCCGAGGUAAUACGGAGGAUCCGAGCGUUAUCCGGAUUUAUUGGGUUUAAAGGGAGCGUCGGUGGAUUGUUAAGUCAGGUGUGAAAGUUUGCGGCUCAACCGUAAAAUUGCAGUUGAAACUGGCAGUCUUGAGUACAGUAGAGGUGGGCGGAAUUCGUGGUGUAGCGGUGAAAUGCUUAGAUAUCACGAAGAACUCCGAUUGCGAAGGCAGUUCACUGGACUGCAACUGACACUGAGGCUCGAAAGUGUGGGUAUCAAACAGGAUUAGAUACCCGAGUAGUC